UUGGCCCAAUCCUUGUCACCAAAUUGCUCCAGAUGUCUCAGGUUUGAAGGGUUUCUUCUCCAGACUGAAUGUUUCUACUCCUUUUACAAGACACUCAACAGGAUCUAUUAAUGAGGAGAGCCUAACUUUGAAGAUGAGGAUGGACAUCAUGAUGGACAUUUACAGGAUGGA